rnacentral:rRNA from 1 species
UACGUAGGGUGCAAGCGUUGUCCGGAAUUAUUGGGCGUAAAGAGCUCGUAGGCGGUCUGUCGCGUCUGCUGUGAAAACUCAGGGCUUAACCCUGAGCUUGCAGUGGGUACGGGCAGACUAGAGUGCGGUAGGGGAGACUGGAAUUCCUGGUGUAGCGGUGAAAUGCGCAGAUAUCAAAGAGGAACACCUGGCGGCGAAGGCGGGUUGCUGGGCCGACAC